rnacentral:pre_miRNA from 1 species
GGGAGCGCAGGGUCCUGGGCUGUGUCCCCCGCGCCCUGGGCUCCGGGGCCUGCGCUGCUGGGAUCACGCUCCGGGCCGGGGCUCCU